rnacentral:rRNA from 1 species
ACACAUGCAAGUCGAGGGGCAGCAUGGUCUUAGCUUGCUAAGGCCGAUGGCGACCGGCGCACGGGUGAGUAACACGUAUCCAACCUGCCGUCUACUCUUGGACAGCCUUCUGAAAGGAAGAUUAAUACAAGAUGGCAUCAUGAGUCCGCAUGUUCACAUGAUUAAAGGUAUUCCGGUAGACGAUGGGGAUGCGUUCCAUUAGAUAGUAGGCGGGGUAACGGCCCACCUAGUCUUCGAUGGAUAGGGGUUCUGAGAGGAAGGUCCCCCACAUUGGAACUGAGACACGGUCCAAACUCCUACGGGAGGCAGCAGUGAGGAAUAUUGGUCAAUGGGCGAGAGCCUGAACCAGCCAAGUAGCGUGAAGGAUGACUGCCCUAUGGGUUGUAAACUUCUUUUAUAAAGGAAUAAAGUCGGGUAUGUAUACCCGUUUGCAUGUACUUUAUGAAUAAGGAUCGGCUAACUCCGUGCCAACAGCCGCGGUAAUACGGAGGAUCCGAGCGUUAUCCGGAUUUAUUGGGUUUAAAGGGAGCGUAGAUGGAUAUUUAAGUCAGUUGUGAAAGUUUGCGGCUCAACCGUAAAAUUGCAGUUGAUACUGGAUAUCUUGAGUGCAGUUGAGGCAGGCGGAAUUCGUGGUGUAGCGGUGAAAUGCUUAGAUAUCACGAAGAACUCCGAUUGCGAAGGCAGCCUGCUAAGCUGCAACUGACAUUGAGGCUCGAAAGUGUGGGUAUCAAACAGG